rnacentral:lncRNA from 1 species
CAGAAGGCGUCCGAUAAGAUAAGGAAGCUGUGAACAUGCCUGAGCAAGUAUUUGUGAAGUAGGAUGUGGAGUCACUGGGCCCAUGUCAAGAAGUAAUAUAGAUCAUUGCUUAGUCCAACUGUCAUCAGAGGAGCUUCACUCAGCAACUAAUGGAAAUAGAUGCAGAGACCCACAGCCAAGCAUUAUUUGGACCUCAGGGAUCCUGUGGAAGAGGUGGAAGAAGGAUUUCGUGAGCCAGAGGGGACAAGGACAAUACAAGAUAGCACUCAGAAUCAACUAACCUGGGCUCAUGGAGAAUUUGCGUGGGACUGAUUUGGG